GUCGUCACGUGAACGUAGUGGAGUGCAGUGACGGUCAGCACAGCGGAGAGAAUAGUCCCCCAGAGGCGAGAAAACCGGAUCUGGCAGCAUUGGAGAGCGCCAGACGGGGAGAAGAGGAGAGAGGUGGAGGAAGAUUUUCCGGGAUCUCUGAGAUAUUGUGAUAGAAAUCUGCUUUUGAAGAUAUUUUGACGGCCAAAUGCGGGCGAUGAAUAUUUUGUUGCUGCUGGUGGCAGCAGCUGCAAUUAUAGAUGGCACCACUGCCGACAAGACGCAACGUCUGUCCCGACGCGUCACUGCCGAUGAUGCGGCCACCGACGAUGCAGCCACCAGUCGCCGUCGCUUCUCCCGCUACCGUGCCCGCUUCCCCAUCGGUCCGCGUCCCGUAGAAGACGACGAGGACGACACCGACAGCGACAACGACGAUGAUGAGCAGUUCCAGCAUCGGUCACGUGGCGGCGCUGCUGUUGAUCCGAUAGAUGUCGCUCCGACUGCUGAAGCGCCACCGUCAAGACGUGGAAGUAGAGCUCGAGGUUCGGGUCGACGAUUCAACACGGGACGCCGGGGAUCUCGCCAGCGAGGUGGAACUACCACCGAGAUACCGACCUCUCCGACCUCUGAGUCUCUAAGUCAACCAGGUCGCUCGCAGUUCGCCGGGCGUCAGCAAGCAACGUCUUCAUUCUCAGCUCCGUCACCUUCCGGAACCGAUAGCACGCGACAGCGAGGACAGCGAGGACGUGCCGGCUCUCGCUUCAACCUCGACGCCUACAUAAAGGAGACAGGUCGUCUUCCCAUCGCGGAUAUCGGGAUCGACGGCCUCCCGGGACAUUCAACGCUCACAUCGGGACCGGCUGGGACAUCAGCCCCUUCCACAGCUCCUUCCUCGAUUUCGUCCUCUGUUCAGGAUCAGGAUGUUGUACAGCCAGGACGACGUCGUGAUGGUGGUUUCUCCCGCACGGCGACCACCCAGAUUGCUGUGCCACGCCAGCCACCUAGACGUCGCCGACCCGUUCCUACAUCUCCCCCUUUCGUUGGUGAGACCCCGCAAGAACAGGCGGUUGUUUCGAGGGAUUCUUCUCUGAUCGAGGAGGCAGAUGAGGAGGAGGAGGCACCAGUCAGGCGAGGACGUUUCAGAAGUGGCACGCGGAAUGCCCUCGGGCGACGGGGAAGUCGGAAGCGGGUCAGGGUGAGGCCCGCUAUCAGGAACCCUGUGGUUUCUGUUGAAGAAGGCUUGGAAAAGCCGCGGGUACCCGAAAAUGUUGCCAAUGUCGAGACAAGCAUGAAGGUCCCUGCAUUGCUGGCAGCUUUCACAAAUUUGGCUCCGUAUGGUGAGGGUGAAGAUACCUCCCCUUCCCAUCCGAAUGGACUCGCCGACGACAUUGCCAUAGCGUUGCCGGCGCACCUCCCGGACGAGCUCAUUGGUGGUCGCGGGGGGAGGUCAUAUCUCCCGCGGCCCGGAUCUCAGUCUCUUUCACGUCCGGCUGGCGCCUCAAAUCCCAACGCCUAUCUGCCAGAGCCCCAGGUGAAACCCUCGCUUCAGGAGAACUCCUACCUGCCCACCUCAAACCUGCCACCUCGCUCUGAAAAACCGCCCUAUCUCCCCGAACCAGACAGCUUCGACCGGCCGCAGUCUUCCCUGUUCGACGGCCUGGCUUUGCCGCCUGUGGAGGCGCCGAUACCAAAGCCGCAGCCUGCGGCCGAACCGGCAGAAUGCAGUGCCGACCCGGGCGCGAUCCGUCUAGAGCUGCGGUUUUUGCGACCGUGCAGCACGGAUGCCGACUGUGGAGUAAAUCUGGCCUGCUUCUCGGCGGCAGCUCCGUGCUCAGGAGCGGCGCAGUCACAGGAAUCCGUAUGUCUGCCUGCUAUGGAGGCUGGAGCCGCGUGUUCGAGGGAUGCGCACUGCGCGUCAGCGCGUUGCCAUAGCAACGUGUGCCUCUAGUGUCGUCAUCCGCUGAUCUCAGCAAAGAAAAUGGAGGCGUAAAUGUGCCUUCCAAGUUCAUAAUCACGUGCAUAGGCAUAACGAAGCACAUUAUGCCAAGGAGAUGGUUUCGCGUUUGUUCAUUUUCAAUUGUAAGAUUGUAUGGUAAAAGGCGACAUUAAUUGCUGUUCAUUUAGGCGUGAACGACGUAAUCAAACUUAACGGCAAAAGUGGGUGUCAUCAACCAAUCAAUGAUGUGGAGUAUUUUAAGUGAUUAAUGAAUGUUCACAUGCAGUAGCCAAUACAUGAUGUGGUCUGAUAAUUAUGCUCUUGGGCUGGGGCUCAGGGCCACAUAAAUAAGAUUGUAAUACGAAAGAAACACCUAUGUCGAGCAAAGUAAGCCUCCAAAAGCAGUGAUCAAGGACACAGGUAAAAAAAAAAACGUUUCAGAUGAGACUUAGAGUUAUUACUCCAUUUAAGUUAGGUAAAUGAGGCAAUGUACGUAUUUCAACUACGUACUCAUCGUUGUUAUGAGAGAAACAUCUCCAUCUCAACUGUACAUAAGUAUGCAAUAGUAUCUGUCCAAACAUUUUCUAUUUGUAUUUUAGUGAAUCGAUAGCCAUGAAUACGUUUCGAAAGCUGGACUAUCGACUUCGUUCAGAACUCAUGCUAAGUGCUGGGGUGAGACCCUUAUGACUUGAGCUUGCGUUGAUUAAAUUAGAUGUUCCUUUGUGGUAUCAUGAGGAGAACCAAUACACAAUGCAAAAUAACGUAACU